AGAGGGUGCAAGCGUUAAUCGGAAUUACUGGGCGUAAAGCGCACGUAGGCGGAUAUUUAAGUCGGGUGUGAAAGCCCCGGGCUCAACCUGGGAACUGCAUUCGAUACUGGAUAUCUAGAGUAUGGUAGAGGGUAGUGGAAUUCCCGGUGUAGCGGUGAAAUACGUAGAUAUCGGGAAGAACAUCAGUGGCGAAGGCGGCUGCCUGGACCAAUACUGACGCUGAGGUGCGAAAGCGUGGGGAGCAAACAGGAUUAGAGACCCUGGUAGUCCACGCCGUAAACGAUGAGAACUAGAUGCUAGGGAGCAUGACUUUUUAGUAUCGUAGCUAACGCGUUAAGCUCUCCGCCUGGGAGUACGGCCGCAAGGUUA
rnacentral:rRNA from 1 species